AUUGAACGCUGGCGGCAGGCCUAACACAUGCAAGUCGGGCGAGUGGCGGACGGGUGAGUAAUGUAUGGGGAACUGCCUGAUGGCGGGGGAUAACUACUGGAAACGGUAGCUAAUACCGCAUACCAUCAGAUGAACCCAUAUGGGAUUAGCUUGUAGGUGGGGUAAAGGCUCACCUAGGCGACGAUCCCUAGCUGGUCUGAGAGGAUGACCAGCCACACUGGGACUGAGACACGGCCCAGACUCCUACGGGAGGCAGCAGUGGGGAAUAUUGCACAAUGGGCGCAAGCCUGAUGCAGCCAUGCCGCGUGUAUGAAGAAGGCCUUCGGGUUGUAAAGUACUUUCAGCCGGGAGGCGUUACCGGCAGAAGAAGCACCGGCUAACUCCGUGCCAGCAGCCGCGGUAAUAC
rnacentral:rRNA from 1 species